rnacentral:rRNA from 1 species
UACGUAGGGUGCAAGCGUUGUUCGGAAUUACUGGGCGUAAAGCGCACGUAGGCGGACAUUUAAGUCAGGGGUGAAAUCCCGGGGCUCAACCCCGGAACGGCCUUUGAUACUGGGUGUCUUGAGUUCGGAAGAGGUGAGUGGAAUUGCGAGUGUAGAGGUGAAAUUCGUAGAUAUUCGCAGGAACACCAGUGGCGAAGGCGGCUCACUGGUCCGAUACUGACGCUGAGGUGCGAAAGCGUGGGGAGCAAACAGG